rnacentral:rRNA from 1 species
AGUGAACGCUGGCGGUAGGCCUAACACAUGCAAGUCGAACGGCAGCACAGUAAGAGCUUGCUCUUACGGGUGGCGAGUGGCGGACGGGUGAGGAAUACAUCGGAAUCUACUUUUUCGUGGGGGAUAACGUAGGGAAACUUACGCUAAUACCGCAUACGACCUACGGGUGAAAGCAGGGGAUCUUCGGACCUUGCGCGAUUGAAUGAGCCGAUGUCGGAUUAGCUAGUUGGCGGGGUAAAGGCCCACCAAGGCGACGAUCCGUAGCUGGUCUGAGAGGAUGAUAAGCCACAUUGAAACUGGGACACGGCCCAAACUCCUACGGGAGGCAGCAGGGGGAAUAAUUGACCAAUGGGGGCAAGCCUGAUCCAGCCAAACCGGGGGGGUGAAGAAGGCUUUCGGGUUGUAAAGCCCUUUUGUGGGGAAAAAAAAGCGGAAGGUUAAUACCCCGCUGUUCUGACGGUACCAAAAGAAUAAGCACCGGCUAACUUCGU